CCUUCGAUAGCUCAAUUGGAAGAGCGUGAGACUGUAAUGGGGAAAUGACUAUCUCAAGGUCGCUGGUUCGAUCCCGGCUCGAAGGA